rnacentral:rRNA from 1 species
GGCUUAGAGUUUGAUCAUGGCUCAGGAUAAACGCUGGCGGCGCACAUAAGACAUGCAAGUCGAACGAACUUAAUCCUUAGAUUACUAUGGAAGCGGUUAGUGGCGGACUGGUGAGUAACACGUAAGCAACCUGCCUAUUAGAGGGGAACAACAGUUAGAAAUGACUGCUAAUACCGCAUAUGCCAUAAGUAUCGCAUGAUACAAGUGGGAAAGGAGAAAUCCGCUAAUAGAUGGGCUUGCGUCUGAUUAGUUAGUUGGUGGGGUAACGGCCUACCAAGACGACGAUCAGUAGCCGAACUGAGAGGUUGAACGGCCACAUUGGGACUGAGAUACGGCCCAGACUCCUACGGGAGGCAGCAGUCGGGAAUAUUGCGCAAUGGAGGAAACUCUGACGCAGUGACGCCGCGUGCAGGAAGAAGGUUUUCGGAAUGUAAACUGCUUUAGACAGGGAAGAAAAAGGACAGUACCUGUAGAAUAAGCUCCGGCUAACUACGUGCCAGCAGCCGCGGUAAUACGUAGGGAGCAAGCGUUAUCCGGAUUUAUUGGGUGUAAAGGGUGCGUAGACGGGAGAGCAAGUUAGUUGUGAAAUCCCUCGGCUUAACUGAGGAACUGCAACUAAAACUAUUCUUCUUGAGUGCUGGAGAGGAAAGUGGAAUUCCUAGUGUAGCGGUGAAAUGCGUAGAUAUUAGAGGAACACCAGUGGCGAAAGCGACUUUCUGGACAGUAACUGACGUUGAGGCACGAAAGUGUGGGGAGCAAACAGGAUUAGAUACCCUGGUAGUCCACACUGUAAACGAUGGACACUAGUGUAGAUGUGAUAAACGUUCUGUGCCGUCGCAACGCAGUAGUAUCCACUGGGAGUACGNNCAAG